rnacentral:rRNA from 1 species
AGAGUUUGAUCAUGGCUCAGAACGAACGCUGGCGGCAGGCCUAACACAUGCAAGUCGAGCGCACCUUCGGGUGAGCGGCGGACGGGUUAGUAACGCGUGGGAACGUGCCCAGAUCUGCGGAAUAGCCACUGGAAACGGUGAGUAAUACCGCAUACGCCCUUCGGGGGAAAGAUUUAUCGGAUUUGGAUCGGCCCGCGUUAGAUUAGGUAGUUGGUGGGGUAACGGCCUACCAAGCCUACGAUCUAUAGCUGGUUUUAGAGGAUGAUCAGUAACACUGGGACUGAGACACGGCCCAGACUCCUACGGGAGGCAGCAGUGGGGAAUCUUGGACAAUGGGCGCAAGCCUGAUCCAGCCAUGCCGCGUGAGUGAUGAAGGCCUUAGGGUCGUAAAGCUCUUUCGCCAGGGAUGAUAAUGACAGUACCUGGUAAAGAAACCCCGGCUAACUCCGUGCCAGCAGCCGCGGUAAUACGGAGGGGGUUAGCGUUGUUCGGAAUUACUGGGCGUAAAGCGCGCAUAGGCGGACCAGAAAGUUAGGGGUGAAAUCCCGGGGCUCAACCCCGGAACUGCCUCUAAAACUCCUGGUCUAGAGUUCGAGAGAGGUGAGUGGAAUUCCGAGUGUAGAGGUGAAAUUCGUAGAUAUUCGGAGGAACACCAGUGGCGAANGCGGCUCACUGGCUCG